rnacentral:rRNA from 1 species
AAGAUUUUUGUGCAAAUCAAUAUAAAUUGAUUAAAUUUUAUUUAUUUACUUAUUUGUUUGUUUAAAUUAUAAUUUAUUAAAAAUAAUUAUAAUGUAUAAUGUUUUAGUAUUGUAUAAAGAAAAAAUAAAUUUAAUAAUAGUUUAUUAGUAUCGUGAGAGAAUAUUGAAAUAAUUUGAAAAAUUUUUAUGAAAUAAGAAAAUUUAAUUUAUUGUACCUUGUGUAUCAGGGUUUUUUAAAUAAAGAAUAAUUAUUUAUUUUUCUCGAUUUUAAAAGAGCUAAUAAAAUAUAAAGGUUAAUGUAAUAAAAUUAUUUUUUAUGUUUUAUUUGAAAUGAAAUGUUAUUCGUUUUUAAAGGUAUCUAGUUUUUUUAGAAAUAAAUUUAAUUUAGAAGUUUUUAAUUAUUAAGUUAUUUUUGAAUUUAAUAAAUGAAAAAUUUUAAUAUUUUAAGGGAUAAGCUUUAAAAUAAAUUAUUAAAAAUAAUAAAUAAUGUAUUAAAAAAGUAUGCUUAGAAUUAGUAAUCUUUUAUAAGUUUGUUAUAAAUUUAUUUUGAAAUAUAAAUUAUUUAUUAAAUUUUGAAUUUUUAUAAAAAUGUUUUUAUUAAUUUUAAAUAAAAAAUAAUAAUGAAAAAAUUAGUAUAUUGUCUUGUAUAAAUAAAUAAAUAUGAUAAGUUUAAAUAAAGAACUCGGCAAAUAUAAUAUUCGCCUGUUUAACAAAAACAUGUCUUUUUGAGUUCAAUAUAAAGUCUAGCCUGCCCACUGAAUUAUUUAAAUGGCCGCAGUAUAUUAACUGUGCAAAGGUAGCAUAAUCAAUAGUCUUUUAAUUGAAGGCUGGUAUGAAUGGUUGGACGAGAUAUUAACUGUUUCAUUUAGAUUUAUAAUAGAAUUUUAUUUUUUAGUUAAAAAGCUAAAAUAAAUUUAAAAGACGAGAAGACCCUAUAAAGCUUUAUAUUUUAUUUAUUUUAAUAAAUUAGAUAAAUUUUAUUAUUAUAAUUUAAAAUAUUUUAUUGGGGUGAUAUUAAAAUUUAAAAAACUUUUAAUAUGUAAAAGUCAUUGAUUUAUGAAAUAUUGAUCCAUUAAUAGUGAUUAAAAAUUUAAGUUACUUUAGGGAUAACAGCGUAAUUUUUUUGGAGAGUUCAUAUCGAUAAAAAAGAUUGCGACCUCGAUGUUGGAUUAAGGAAUAGGUUUAGGGGUAGUUUUUUAAAUUUUAAGUCUGUUCGACUUUUAAACCCUACAUGAUCUGAGUUCAACCGG